GACGGAGGAUGCAAGUGUUAUCCGGAAUCACUGGGCGUAAAGCGUCUGUAGGUGGUUCGAAAAGUCCACUGUUAAAAAUUGAGGCUUAACUUCAAAGAUGCCGUGGAAACUUUCAAACUAGAGUAUGGUAGGGGUAGAGGGAAUUUCCAGUGGAGCGGUGAAAUGCGUAGAUAUUGGAAAGACCACCGAUGGCGAAGGCACUCUACUGGGCCAUUACUGACACUGAGAGACGAAAGCUAGGGGGAGCAAAUGGGAUUAGAUACCCCCGUGUCAGUCCAAGACCAUCUCUGACCUACCAU
rnacentral:rRNA from 1 species